GGACCAGGCGCCAGAUGAUGCACCCCUACGUACAAAUAAUCUUGACUGAAAUUUGAAGGUGGGCAGAAAAUAGUGGUAGAGUGGCAAGUGCACGAUCACCAUUAAGAGUACCUGGCUGUUGACGACCUAUACAGGUUGGCUAAUUCUGAGUAAUUGUUGUAAUUGCUGUCUCAUGGAGAGGGAAAAGUGGAAUAUCACUCGCAGCAAUUUCAGGAAAAGGGCUGUUAAAAGAGUCAACCAGUUGUUGUUGUUUAAGUGUCUGAUAUAACCACGAAUAGUAAGCAAUUAUAUGACAGUAAUGAUAUAACAUAUGUCAGACACAUUUUCAAGCAAGCCUAAAAGAUAAUGUGUUCAAACUGGCUUCACUCGCUUUAAUUGCUCCUUUGAAUGUAAUUUUCCUCUGUGGUUUCCUACUCAACACAUGUUUGUAUUGUAAUGC